rnacentral:rRNA from 1 species
AUUGAACGCUGGCGGCAUGCCUAACACAUGCAAGUCGAACGGCAGCACAGCAGUAGCAAUACUGUGGGUGGCGAGUGGCGGACGGGUGAGGAAUACGUCGGAAUCUGCCCAGUCGUGGGGGAUAACUAGCCGAAAGGUUAGCUAAUACCGCAUACGACCGAGAGGUGAAAGCGGGGACCGCAAGGCCUCGCGCGAUUGGAUGAGCCGACGUCGGAUUAGCUAGUUGGCGGGUAAAGGCCCACCAAGGCGACGAUCCGUAGCUGGUCUGAGAGGAUGAUCAGCCACACUGGAACUGAGACACGGUCCAGACUCCUACGGGAGGCAGCAGUGGGGAAUAUUGGACAAUGGGCGCAAGCCUGAUCCAGCAAUGCCGCGUGUGUGAAGAAGGCCUCGGUUGUAAG